rnacentral:lncRNA from 1 species
UUUAAAAAAUUUAGAGCACAAUCUAUAGAAUAAAGUCUUAUGUUGCUAUCCAAUACUAUGGUACAAUAACUAAAAUUGAUGGAGAUUGAUGCCUUGCAAGGAUCACUAACAUCAUAGAGAUGACAAAUAUUGGCAUAGAAAAUAUUGUGUUUCUAUUGUUGGGAGCCAUGCUAUCAGAUUGGAGAUUGUCUAAAAUAUCAAAAUUCAAGCAUCAAAAGAUCAAGCUAAGUUUAC